UUGAACGCUGGCGGCAGGCCUAACACAUGCAAGUCGAGCGGUAGCACAGAGAGCUUGCUCUCGGGUGACGAGCGGCGGACGGGUGAGUAAUGUCUGGGAAACUGCCUGAUGGAGGGGGAUAACUACUGGAAACGGUAGCUAAUACCGCAUAAUGUCGCAAGACCAAAGUGGGGGACCUUCGGGCCUCAUGCCAUCAGAUGUGCCCAGAUGGGAUUAGCUAGUAGGUGGGGUAACGGCUCACCUAGGCGACGAUCCCUAGCUGGUCUGAGAGGAUGACCAGCCACACUGGAACUGAGACACGGUCCAGACUCCUACGGGAGGCAGCAGUGGGGAAUAUUGCACAAUGGGCGCAAGCCUGAUGCAGCCAUGCCGCGUGUGUGAAGAAGGCCUUCGGGUUGUAAAGCACUUUCAGCGGGGAGGAAGGCGUUAAGGUUAAUAACCUUGGCGAUUGACGUUACCCGCAGAAGAAGCACCGGCUAACUCCGUGCCAGCAGCCGCGGUAAUACGGAGGGUGCAAGCGUUAAUCGGAAUUACUGGGCGUAAAGCGCACGCAGGCGGUCUGUCAAGUCGGAUGUGAAAUCCCCGGGCUCAACCUGGGAACUGCAUUCGAAACUGGCAGGCUAGAGUCUUGUAGAGGGGGGUAGAAUUCCAGGUGUAGCGGUGAAAUGCGUAGAGAUCUGGAGGAAUACCGGUGGCGAAGGCGGCCCCCUGGACAAAGACUGACGCUCAGGUGCGAAAGCGUGGGGAGCAAACAGGAUUAGAUACCCUGGUAGUCCACGCCGUAAACGAUGUCGAUUUGGAGGUUGUGCCCUUGAGGCGUGGCUUCCGGAGCUAACGCGUUAAAUCGACCGCCUGGGGAGUACGGCCGCAAGGUUAAAACUCAAAUGAAUUGACGGGGGCCCGCACAAGCGGUGGAGCAUGUGGUUUAAUUCGAUGCAACGCGAAGAACCUUACCUGGUCUUGACAUCCUCAGAACUUUCCAGAGAUGGAUUGGUGCCUUCGGGAACUGUGAGACAGGUGCUGCAUGGCUGUCGUCAGCUCGUGUUGUGAAAUGUUGGGUUAAGUCCCGCAACGAGCGCAACCCUUAUCCUUUGUUGCCAGCGGUUCGGCCGGGAACUCAAAGGAGACUGCCAGUGAUAAACUGGAGGAAGGUGGGGAUGACGUCAAGUCAUCAUGGCCCUUACGACCAGGGCUACACACGUGCUACAAUGGCAUAUACAAAGAGAAGCGACCUCGCGAGAGCAAGCGGACCUCAUAAAGUAUGUCGUAGUCCGGAUUGGAGUCUGCAACUCGACUCCAUGAAGUCGGAAUCGCUAGUAAUCGUAGAUCAGAAUGCUACGGUGAAUACGUUCCCGGGCCUUGUACACACCGCCCGUCACACCAUGGGAGUGGGUUGCAAAAGAAGUAGGUAGCUUAACCUUCGGGAGGGCGCUUACCACUUUGUGAUUCAUGACUGGGGUG
rnacentral:rRNA from 1 species